GACGAACGCUGGCGGCGUGCUUAACACAUGCAAGUCGAACGGAAAGGUCCUGCUUUUGUGCGUUGCUCGUGUGCCGAACGCGUGAGUAACACGCGAGUAACCUGCCCUUGUCUUUCUGAUAACUUCACGAAACUGCGGCUAAUACCGCAUAUGACAUCUUGCUCCACGGUGUGGUUUGGAAAGUUUGGGUGGUUCUGGAUGGAUUGGCGGCUUAUCCGCCUGUUGGUGGGGUUGUGGCUUACGAAGGUUUCGACGGGUAGCCGGCCUGAGAGGGUAGCCGGCGACAAGAGGACUGAGAUAGGGCGCAGAAUGGUAUGGGAGGCAGCAGGGGGGAAUAUUGCAGAGUGGGGGGGAGCCUGAGGCGAAGGCGCCGGGUGCGGGAUAACGGCCUUCGGGGUGUGAACCGCUUUGGACUGUGAUGAGGAGGGAGUGACGGUAAUGGGUAAAGAAGCACCGGCUAACUACGUG
rnacentral:rRNA from 1 species